CCAGUUGCGUAUACAAAUAUAUGCAUAUUUGUAUCCGUUAAUGUGAGGGCCCCGAAUCUGAUGUCCCGAAUCACCGCGGAUCCGGUUCGAUCAUUCUAUACAACUAUUACUAUUUUUGCGGAAGAUAUAAAUAUAAAUUGUUUAUACAUUAAACAUUACACACUAUUCCCCAAGGUCGAGUAACCUUAACUUAAUACACAAUUCAUAACUUUUUUGACUUACAAUAACAUUAUCAUCAUACAAUACUAUUACAAAUCUAAUCGCACACGUAAACUAAAGCUGGAACCGUCUUUGACCUUUCCUUGUAUCCGACGUAUUCGUCUUAAUCUGCAAUGUUUAUCAUGAUAUAGCAAGGGUGAGCAUAAAAGUUUCCCAUCAAGUUUAAGUUCAAUAAUUUAACGAUAUAUCAUGAUUGAAAGAAUUUGAAUAAUAAGCUGGCUAAAUCCAACAAUAUAAUUGCGAACUAGCAGGAACAAAUUUUAUGACUGAACAAGUAUUUAACAUGAACAAAUAUAUCUGGACCGAAUGGUAAUGAAGGUGAUCAGUCUUUCAUACCUGACUUAUACAUGCAAUAUGUACAUAGUACAAUUCUACAAUGGCAAUCAACAAUGAUUAUCCAUAAGCAUAUCUGAAUGAAACAACUCUUAGUAGAGUUCAAGUAAAAACUUGCAUGAACCGUUGAUUACCGCUACGCAAUUUAUAACGAUGUAUCUGAAGACCUAAUAUUAGUAAUAUAGAUCUCCAAUAUUAGAAUAAUAUCAUCACAAUAUAAUACUAUUAUAUAUAUAGAUAUACAUAAAAUAACCUAAACACAUAACACAUAACACUAUCAGUCUAUAACACAUAUAAGACUCGGUAUCAAGUCAAACUAUUGCAGUCUGAGUUGAAACUGACACAAUUCUAUCAUCCCGACGGUCUAGUCGGACAAUACUCGAGUUUAAGUUCAAUUAAACUCUGCCUAAACACUUAACAAUUAUCUCAGAUAAUUUUAAUAUUAGUCAAAAUAAUAUUCAUAAGCUCGUAAUAAUUUUUAAAUAAUUAUUACUAUUUAUCAUGAAUUUUCAAUCAUUAAUAUCGUAUUUAAAUGAAUUAAAUACCACAUAAUUCUUUUGUCAUUAAUAUUUAUUUAUUAUCAAAUAUUAAUGAAAUACAUGUCAUAAUUUUAUAAUAUAUUUAUAAUAAAACAAAGUAUUUUUAAUACUUUAAAAUCACCUUUAUAUGAUUUUUAAACCGUUAAAUUCAUUAUCCGAUAAUUGCUUUUAAUAUUAAAAUAUUAAUAUUUUCAUGACAAAAUAUCAAAGGUUAUAUUUUAUAACUUAUAAUAUUUUUAUAACACUUAAAUCAUUUUUAUAUGAUUUAUAAAACAUUAAUUAUAUUUUUUCAUAAUUAUUUAAUAUAUUUAUUAAAUAAACUAAUUAUCAUUAAUAUUGAUUAAUUAAUGAAAUUCAUCACAAAAUAUUAAAAGUCACUGAAAAUAUCUUUAAAUAUUUUCUUAAACCAUAAUAUUAUUUUUCAUGAUUUUUCAUGUAUUAAAAUCAUUUUUAAAUAAUUUAUUUAAUAUUAUAAUUAAAUAAAUUAAAUACCAUUUAUAUUCCAAAAAUAUUAAAUAUUUAUGAAAUAUACUCAAAAUAAUUUGACUAUUUUUCAGAUUUUAAAAUAAUUUUUCAAAAUUUAUUUUGUAUUUUUAAUAAUUAAAAACUAUUUUUUUUCUAUUUAUUUAAUUAAUUAAUCUAUUUUCCGAAAAUAAUUGUCACUAAAGGGCCCUCUAGCGACAAACCCGUCGCUAUAGGUGUUCUUGAGCCUGUUCUUGAGCUCCCGUCGCUAUAGGUGUUCUUGAGUUUGUUCUUGAGCUGCCCAGAAAUGCAUAGCCAGUUACCGGGUGCCUAGUUUGACCAACAUUUAAACCGUGUUCUUAAUGAUUUUUGGACUGGGUUAAGUGUUAUAAUUAUAGUAUAAGUGUAAUACUAUAACUAUCAACAAAGAUCCAGGCCAAUCCACAACAAAUCAGUAAAAUAAAGGCCUUCAAAUUUGAUGUCAAACCUGUUCUUACAGUACGAAAGGUGCUACUUUGAAGCUUUUAAUCUUUGAUUUCCAAGUAUUGUUUAUGUGAUGUAAAGGUUCCACCAUGUAUUCCUAAGAUUUUAGGGUUUGGAACCCUUAGGGUUUAGGUUUUAACCCUUAACUUUGCAAUUUAAUUCCUAAGAUUUCCAAAUUAGGUUUUCAAAACUAGAAAAUUAAUAUUUCUAAAUUAUAAUUAGAAUUUUCUAAUUAUAUUAAAAUUUCUUAAUCAUAAUUUAAAUCUUGCUAAUUAGGAUUAGUAUUUCCUAAUUAAAAUUGCUAAUUUAGCAAUUAGGGUCAAAAUUGUCAUUAGGGUUUAUAACCCACGAAUUAGGGUUUCUAAUAGAAAAAUAAUUUUUUAAUUUAGAAAUUAGAUUUCGUAAUUAGAUUAGGAUUUUCUAAUUACUAAAAACUUGAAAAUUAGGAUUAAUAUUUACUAAUUAACAUUAAAACUAUUAAAUUACACUUAGGUUUUCCCUAAUUAUAAAUUAGGGUUUCUAAUCUCGAAACUAGGGUUUAAAAAUUUGAAAUUAGGGUUUGCUAAAUAAUUAAGUUUUACCCUAAUUAAUAGCACAUAAGCAUUAUAAUUAUCCUUUAAGUUCCCAGAUUAGGGUUUCAUACACCGAAUCAGGGUUUUUAAAUACCCAGAACUGAAAUUAGGGUUUCCAGAACCGGUUUCUAGGGUUCCUUAUAAUUCGCUAGGGUUUGCUAACCGAACGUUGUCGUUCUUAAUAUAUACCUAGGGUUUGUUACAGAUAUCAUUUAUCUAGUCAACCCUUGACCCUUAACUACAUAUUGUACACAUAUACACAGAACAUAUUCAUGUAUUCCUUUAAUCAUGAAUAAUUCACUUAAAUCCUUCACAGAAUUUUGAAAUCCUCAAAAUUCCUUCUCAAAAAUAUCAAACGCAUACACUUAUUUUCUGUCUAGGUUCUAAUAUUGAACCUUAAAUCGAUUAAUUAAAAUUUUUAAAAAUUUUCUAAAUUCUCGGGUUGUCACAAUUAAUGUCCGUAUAUACAUAUAUAUAUAGAUAUAUAUAUAUAUAUAUAUAUACAUACAUUUGCAUAUAUAAAUUUAUCAUUUAAUAUGGGUAUAAAUAUACGAUAGUAUUAAAAUCACUUGCAUCUUUUAUGACUAUAUUAUGAUAUACGAUAUAAAAAAAAUACAUAUGGAUAUGAUAUCUAGUUUUAUUAUUUUAUUUGGUUGAUAAUACAUCAUUUCUAAUUAUUAUUUGAUUAAGUAAAUAUUUUUUUGGUUAUUAAUUAAACAUUGUGUAAGAAUUUAAAAAAAAUGAAACUUUUAAAAUUUUAUUUUAAACGGAUAUACGGAUAUUUGAUAUAUUUAUUCAUAUUAUAUAUUUUACGGAUACGCUGACGGAUACAAAUACGGAUAUUUCAUAUUAUAUAUCUGAUUAUGGAUACGAAUAUGGGUAUUAAAAUUUAUUUUCGGAUACAGAUAUAUCUGUAUCUACAUCCACAUCCGAAAAUAUCCGUUUACAGGCUUACAGCCCUAUGUGUGUGCGAGAGAGAGUGUAUAUAUGAUAUGUAUUGCAGAGAGGCAUCUAUACAAGAUUUAUGAGGACAUUAAUCUUUGAAAUUAUAUAUAAAUAAAAGUAUGUGUGUGUUGAUAUGAUAUGUAUUUUGGAGAGACAUUGAUACAAGCUCCAAUAUGUUAUGUGUACGAGUGUAUGGUCAACUAUCAUAUGAACCGCACAGAGCAAAACCAAAAAGUUCUAUAGCUUUACAUACAUUCUUAAAAAAGAAACCCCAAUUUUAUUUUAUUUUAUUGGAUAAAGAAUUAAAUUUUAUUAAUAAGAAAAAAAGAAUACAAUAAAUGAGGGAACAAGAAGGCUCCCAGCAAACUAAAGAAAACAAAACUAAAAUAACACGUCAAAAUUACAGUCCUCCAAUCUCUACACUAAUCAGUCUGUAUCAAGGACAAUGAUACCUCUAAAAUCCCCUAUUCAAAAGACAAAGAGAAGCAUAAUAACUCUAUCACCCAACAAUUUAAAAGAUGAGCAACUUUAUUUAAACAAUCUAGCAUUAUACUCGUUCCAAAUUCCCUUUAAAAUAGAAAAGAAGGCACAUUUCCAUAAAAUUUUGACAUUCCUCUUGCUUCCAAAUCCACAAAAACGAAUUAGCAACAUAUCUUCGAUCGAAUUUUAUUAAUAAGAAAAAAAGAAUACAAUAAAUGGGGGAACAAGAAGGCUCCUAGCAAACUAAAGAAAACAAAACUAAAAUAGCACUUAAAAAAUGCAGUUCUCCAAUCUCUACACUAAUCAGUCUGUAUCAAGGACAGUGAUACCUCUAAAAUCCCCUAUUCAAAAGACAAGGAGAAGCAUAAUAACUCUAUCACCCAACAACUUAAAAGAUGAGCAACUUUAUUUAAAAUAUCUAGCAUUACACUCGUUCCAAAUUUCCUUUAAAAUAGAAAAGGCACAUUUCCAUAAAAUUUUGGCAUUCCUCUUGCUUCCAAACUCACAAAAACGAAUUAGCAACGUAUCUUCCACCGAAAUAAAAGUCAAUUACCAAAUCUUUAAACUCUUUAAAUCACUUUUUUCCAUCUUUUUGACUUCUGUGAGUCAGACCUAUUUAUUUUAUUUUAUCAAAACCUUUUGUAAGUUGUAACACAAUAACAUGUAUGACUUGAGGAGGUGCAUUUCGAGUCUUGUAACCAAAGGACUUCGAUGCUUACUAUUAGUUGAUCUUUUUAAAUAAAUCUAAAGGAAAGUUAUAUAUAUAUAUAUAUAUAUAUAUAUAUGUAUAUAUAUAUAUAUGUAUAUAUUAUAAGAGAAUAUUUGGAAAGGUAACAUCAUUUUUAGGUGCAUUUUAUGAAUUUAUCUUUUUCUAGUUUCAAUUAAAAACGUGCACUUACGCUGCAAUUGAAGUAAAGGCUGCCACAAAGUUGUUUGCUUGUUUGAUGUGCAUGGACACGAAAAGUGGGGUUUGGAUGGGGGAAAAAUGCCUUUGGGUCAAAGAAUGUUUUUUCCAAAACAGGGGAUCAUGUGAAACAUAAAACCACGUCCAAGGCCACAGGCAGCAAAAAUGCAUAUUUGAAAAAAGCAGGUAUAAUGCAUAUGGAAAUCCAAGUGCAAUGCCAAGUUUUUCCCUUUCCAUAAAUCUUAUUUCUAAACUGUUAACCUUACCACGAUUACAUUUUUUAAUCCUCAACCCCUAAUUAAUGAACCUAAAUAUUCCUUCAAAAGAGUCUCAACUGUAGCAGCCUAAAAUAGGAAGGAAAAAAAAAUCAAAUAUAUUGGCAAAGGAUAAUUUAAAACAAGGAUUCACCAUCUUCUUGGAGUUAUUUGUGUAAUUUUAAUUUUGCAAAGGAGAAUCUCACCCACGGAUUCAAUCUACUGCUUGGAAGCGCACAAUAUUUGCCUACCACAACUAAUUUGGGGUAAAAGACAUUGAGCUGGGCAUAAAAGAAGAAUUUUCAAACAAAAAGAGAGAUUAAAAGCAUAGACAAGAAGUCCACCCAACCUACAAUAAGUGGAAAUAAAUAAAUAAAACACUCACAAUAGGCCAGCUCCAAUCUUUACAAAGACCAAACUCAAAAAUAAACUUAAGGCACCGAUAGCAAAGUCCCAAAACGAAGCAAGAGAAAAGAUCUUUCCUUGCAACAACGGAAGAUAAAUUGCUAUCUUUAAAAAUCCAAGUAUUAUGCUCGGUCAAUAUCCAAAAAAACAAGGAAUGAUAGCACACUUCCAAAAUAUCUUAACAUCCUCCCUCCAAAACCUUUGACAGAAUAUAGAAGAAUAAAUUAUAGGAAGACAUUUGUCAGGUCUUACAUUAAAUGAUGAUUAUGGAUAAAGACAAACUUAUUAUAUAAAUGGAACAUGUAACACUUCAAUACAAAUUUAAUAAGUUUCCUUUCUCAAAUAAUUGUUCGCAAUUAACUAAAAGAUAAAAGGAACAUAGCAAGCUAUAUUCUUCAAAAUUCAAAUCAAUGAAAGACAAUUCAAUUGAUUACCACAAUCAUACCAAGUUUACUACACAAAGGAAUCAUUAAAAAUCCCACUUUACCCCCAAAACUCACUCCAUUUCUCUCCAAUUAAAUGUUUCAGCCUUUAACUUAUUUAUUUUAGAUUUGUGUAAUUUAAAGAACUCAUGUUUUUAAUCCCAACCACUAAGAUUAAGAGCAGCUUACAAAAGGCUUAGACGCGAAUCCUGGUCCACGCUUAUAUGCCGACUGCUUUCAACAUAGGUAGCAUGAUUGAUGAUUCCCUUUCCUACACUCAGAUUAAUGCCAAGUCUCCUAAAUGUAAUUGCAAGGACUAGAAAGCCCAAAUAAGGAGAGAAUUUUUUAAAUUUGCAUCAACUCCGAAGCAGGCUUCCCUGUGAACUUUCAUCAUCUGUUAUUUGCCUUAGUCAGGUCCAUCGAAUGCUUUUCUUUCCACAUAGACGUGUGUGAAGAGGUGGGUGGUAAGGGGGGAAAGGAAGGAUGAGACUGGGGCUUUAGAAUAUUGCAGUUCAUUUUUAACCUUAUAUCUUUUUAUUUUUAUACAAUAAGAGUCAUGCGGUUUAAUCCGAUAAAAUGUGCAAAAAAUUACCAGCUGCUGACAUGAAACUUUGUUAAUCACUACAUUACUGAGGUAUAAUUGUAAAAGUUCGUGAGUUUCAUAUUAGUGUUCAUACAGAGAAAAAAAGGUACUAAAGUCCAUGUAUAAAUUACAAUCUUUCCCAACCAAACAGAGGUCAGUCUGGGGAAUUUUAUGAAACAUUUGAGACUCUUCAUGAAUCAAGUGAUGCAUACGUCUCUUCUGCUUUUUAUUGUUUAUAGGUAAAUGAAUAUCCACUACAAGUGGAAAAGGGGGUUAAGCCAAGUCCAUGUGAAGUAUACAGAAUAAUGGUAGAAAUAAAGGGCACCCUGAUGCCACCAGAACACCACAACCCCAACCUAUAGAAAGAGAAUCCCAAAAAAUUACUAACCUACACUAGGCUCUCAAUGCAAAGUCUUAGAUACACCUCUCAUGAAACCAAAAGAAUAGUAGGCUAAGAAAUAAACUCGAUAUGAGCCACUGAUCUCUCUUUAUCUUCAAAACAUCAAUUAUUCUGCUCCUUCCAAAUCACCAACCAGACGUCAUGCUGAACCAUAUACAUGUGCUUCUCCACUAUAUCCUAUUCUUCACACUUGAUCAUGCCUCUGGAAUCUCUCCAAUCGAACCUGGUAAUACCAACAAACUACCACACAGAUAAAGGACCAUAGUCCAUAUGCUCCACACCACUUCCCAAUGCAGAAAGAAAUUAUCAGCAGCCUCGCACUCUCUGACACGUGCAACACCUAUUCAUAAAAAAGUGGAUCCUCUUCUGGAUGUUAUUUUGCAUGAGGAUCGUACCCAACACAGAAGUGUAGGAGAAUAAUUCCAUUUAUGUAGCAACCCAGAUUUUGUCAAUAAUUAAAUAUUAAUUGAUUUUAUUUUAUAAAAGCAUAAUUGAAUUGGAAAAGGUUAAAUUCUUUUAAUAGAUAAUUAAAUAAUUAACUUAAUUAAAAUUGAGGAGUCCAUUAAAGUUUUGGUAACUCCUAUGCUACGUUUGAAUUGAAGGAAUGGAAUGGAGAGUGGAAUGAUUCAUUCCAUUUUAGUUUGAAUUAGUUAUUCCAUACUAUCUCUCCCUUAAGUAAUAAAAUUCAUAAAUUCGGAAGGAUAAGAAUGGUUCAAUCCAUUCCAAUCGCAACUAAACACAAUUUUUUUCAUUUCAUUCCUAUCUUCAUUACUCCAAUCCAAACGUAGCACUAUUGUUUAAAAAGUGGAGAUGUAACCCAAACUCUACUCUAAUUUGGUUAGUUCAAUUCCCGAGUAGAAUUCUCAUGUGCACUGCAACCCAUUAGAAAAUUCAUAAUUAAUUCAUCCGAUGUAAGAAUUGAGUGAAUCCAAAGUCUAUUUUUUAAGUUUUUCGUCCUCUACAAUUGUGAAAAGGAAUAAAAGUUACUUAGCGUCAUCUUCAUACCUUAAAUUGCUGAAAACCGCAAUCUAUCCUGAUUCCCGUCAUUAUUUUCAGCCCUAGUUUUAAAAAUUCGUAACUCAAUCAUAUUAACUCCGAAUUGAGUGAUUCUUGAGCCUAUUUCGUGUAUCUUUUCGAGAGCUAUAAUUUUCGUGAAGACAUGAAGACUCUAAAAGACCCGAAAGUUAGAUUUUUUAUUGCUACGUAUUGAAAAAAGGCGAACAAAAAAAGUAAAUAUUAUUUCGUAAUUUGAUUUUAAGUUUAGUUAUGGGGGUUUUUAAAUUAGAGAUUGUUUUUAAGUAAAGUAUAGACAUGGAAUUAGAUAUCAUGAUAUUCGAAAAGAGGAGAUAAAUUUAUAUUAACGAAUAUAAUUUGAUUGAAUGUAAACGUUAAAAUCUGAAAUCAAUUUCUAUAUUUUAAGGUAUAUUGCGAGAGUUAUAUCUCUUAAUCCAACCGUUGGAUCGUUAUAAUUUUUUGAUAUGUUAUACAUAUAUAACAUGAGAAUAUUUUUACCAAUUUUGAACCGUUAAAGAUAAAUGUAUGAUUUGUUAUGAAUUUUAAGAAAAGGCUUAUUUGGAAUUUUUAUAGCAGAUUUUCAAAAACAUGUUCUAAUAUUUAAAAAUGCAUAACCUAAUGAUUUUAAAUCCGAUUUGGAUGAUUCUUGAGGCUAAAUUGGAGAAUUUGGAGUCUAGUUUCUGUUAAAAUUAAUUAAUUUGAUAAAUAAGUUUUAACUAAUGGUGAUAAAGACCAUAAUAGUGAACUGACGUAUUAAGAAUAAUUUGACAUAUUAGGGUUUUAAGAUUUCUUAAGUUUUGUUAUUGAUUUUUAAGUUUUUGAGUAUUAAUAGUGAUCUAAGGCAAUAAUUAAAGGCAUCUUAAAUAGAUUACAAAUUAUUUUAGAAUUAUAGUUUGGAUUAUAUUUAAUUCGAGAUGAAUAUUUUAGGUGGUGAAACAUUUCGUAUUUGAUAUCGUUGACAUUUGAGGGUAAGAUUUGGUGGAGUGUGUUAUAAGUGGUUUUGCGUAUCAGAUACGGAUUCUGUACUACACUCCUUCGAUUAUUGUUGUAUUCUUUAUCUCUCGUGAAUAUUCGCCAUUCGUUAUCUUUUUCAUGUAUUUCUGUUGACACUCUUGAAAAUAGAAGUUUGAUCAUUGAUAUCUUGACUUUAUUUUGUAAUCUAAACUCUUUUACGUCUAUUAUAAUUUGAACAGAUUCCAUAUUUCUUCAGCGAUACUAUUGAUUUUCCUGUACUACUAAUUGCUCAGAAUUUGGUACUCGCUUAAUUGUUUCGUUUCUAAUCAAAUCUUUAUUUUGCUUCUGUUUGGUCUAGAUGUUCCGAAUUUCAUAUUUUGUAAUCUUUUGAAUAUUGUUCUUCAUGCAUAGAACUUUAUUGAUCUUUAUAGAGCGGUUAUUACCUUCUUUUAGAGACAUUGUGUUUAUGAUUUGAUUUUGUUUAACAUGUACAUUUAGAACCCUUUUGUUGGUAUUAUGCCGCAUAUAUUGUGACAUCAUAUAUUUGUAGAAUAAGCGAUAGGGUAUACCUGAGCAAUAAUCACCUGUGAGGGUACCACAGGCAUGUCAUCUUGUCACUGAAACAUGACACCUUCGGUGGCGAUGUAAUCAGUCCACAGCGUCUCCGUUUUGUACUCCGAUAGGAGUUAGCUAUAUGGUGAUUUGUUGUGAAAAGGAGUAUAGGUCGACCCUAGUUUUCUGUUCUAUUAUGUGGAUUGCUGAUGUUUGUGUCAAACACUCCUUCCGAUUUUGCAUACAUCUGGAUUGCACAGUUUGAUAUGUGAUUGCCUAUGUAGCAUUAUUUUGAUUGCUUGUAUGGCAAGAUAUAUUUCAGUUUUGUUCUGAGCUUGAAAUAACCACUUAGCCACUUUGAUUCAGCCUUCUGUUUUGGUUCGUUAGUUCUAUUUGUCAGUUAUGCUUCUUUUGUAUAUCUUUAUCCAUACUGGGCAUUUGGCUCAUGCAUUGUUUUUAUUCCGGCAAGUCUGUAGAAGUGAUUCAGGGUUGUGUGAAGAAAGAAUUUGUCCUUGACCAUCUAGGUUGAUUUGGAUUUUUAGUUUUGAUCAAUUUUGAUUAUUCUAUCAAUUUUUGGAGAAUUGUAUUUAAUCCGACAUUGAUCAACUAUUAAAUACUUUGAAGUAUUAGUGCUAUGUUUACUUAUUUUGAGAUUUGUUGUGCUUUGCACGUGACCUCCCUUUCUUAUUCGGGAAGGGGGUGUUACAAUUUAGAAGGAGCAUCAGUCAUCCAAAUGCUUCUCCCAGGGAAAGUCCUCUCAUCUUCUCCCUCACUAAUUCUCAGAUUGUUGGAUCAGAUCCGAUCUGUAUCUUUAUACCUAAUUUUCCAGAUUUACUUCCACGCAAUCUUAUUAUGCUAUCUGGUACAAUUCAACAUUCAGGAAACUUGGAUUUCCAGACAGCACAAAAAACCUACAUUUAAUAAAUAUACACAUAUUUGCCAACUACAUAUGGCACCAAAAAAUCAUGUUGACUUCAUACAGUUAUUUCCUACUAUAAACAAUACGUGUGACAGCUAUAUCUUCCUCAAAUAAAAAUGAAAAGGAAAAAAAAGGUCAGCAAUGAAGCUUGUGGGAACCCUACUGGUACUACAGAUUGAACACAAAGUGCAAGACUUUUUGAAUUCCAAGUAUUCUGUGUAAACUGUCUCAGUAAAAUCAGCAUAGAAAAGCUGAUUUUAAGACUAACUUUAGGCAUGGAUUUUCGUAUUUCAGAAAAAAGGAAAUUUAUGAUCAGAAAUAAAAACAAGAACUUUACAUUUUUACCUUGCAGAAAAAUACAAAAUACCCAGAAAGCCUGGAAAUUUCAAAGCACAGGCACAUGUAUAAUAAAUAACAAACCUAAUUCGAAUGAAAUGAAGCAAAGAAUACCUUGACUAAUCUGAUGGUCAGUAUCGGGAAUUUCAAUGGCCAACUGAUCGUCGGAGUGGACCUUCCUUUGGGCCGCGUCGCUGUUGUGAUUGUGUCCAUCCAUGCUGCAGCUCUUCUCCUUCCAAAAGAAACGCCGCCGCAGUCGUCCCUUCAGUAUUUAUGAGUCAAAGCCAGACCCCUCUAUUUCUCUUUCUAUUUCAGCUUGUCAUAUUAAUUAAAUACCUUGGCAGCACGAUUAAUCAAAGCCAACAAAUCAAUAAUUAUACCCCGAAUAUGAAAAUUUGAUGAUGGGGUUCAACAAAAUCGUCAAAGAAAUUAGGGGUACAGGUAGGUAUAACUUACUCAAAUUUGAAGGCUAAGAAAAACACUGAGUAGGCCGCGGAGGAGAAGGAACGGAGGAGAUUGUCCAAAUUUGAAAACGGAAGUUUGAGUGGGUUUGGGUUUGGGUUUGGGUUUGGGAUGUAAUCGUGUGACUGAACCCAAAUACCCCUUUAAAUUUCCAGGAAAUUCAUGUUCAGAAAAAGAAAAAUGAAAAAAUACAAAUGAUUUGAAAAAUAAAAACGAUUUGAAAUGUAAAUUGAAAAAGAAGAAUGAAAUAGAAGACUCGACCAGAAAAUGAAAGGUAAAAAUGCUAGUAUUAACUAUCAUAUAAUUUAUUUAGACUAGCUCAUCAUCCCUUGCAAAUUGGUAGGCCUUGUUAGCAUCAUAUUUUGAUAUCGAAUACAGUAUGUUGCCGGUCGAGAUAAUUCAGUAUGUUGCCGGUCGAGAUAACGUGGUGGCACCAAGAGAGGACAGAGCAGCAGAUCGGGAUACACAGUCCCUAUAGAACCCGCCCGCCCGAGGCGUAAUUGAUGUGAUCUCAGGCGGUUCAGUUGUGCGUGUAACUGGAAAGAAGAGAAGUGGGCAUCUCGAGGCAGUGCUAUCGGUUACGGGGUCUACUGCAAGAAAGGAUUGGGCACAUCUUGGAACAACCAUCUCCUUUUCGGACGAGGAUUAUCCUACAGACCUCAUAGAGCCGCAUGACGGUGCGUUGGUGAUAAC
rnacentral:lncRNA from 1 species